CUCUUUUGAGCAUUCCUAAAGGGGAGUCUUAUCAACAAUUUUCAGGGUCCUACACUAGCAGGACACUUACAAAUCUGAUGAAACAAUGUCAUAUGAAACACUAUGGAAACAUGACCUAUGUACCACAUUUGGAAGGAAAUCAAAGACUGGGCAUCUUUCUUGGUCUAUAGUUCUUCAAUCUACACAGAGGAAUAAAGAAAAAAAAUUCAUGCAAGACUGUCAUUCAUUCUUCUGUUCAGCUGCCAAGACUCCAUCCAGAUGUCUAUUCCAGUCAGACCAAAUUAUCAAGAUCUGUUUUCAGGGUUCCAAAAUUGCCUAGGGAAUCGGAUGGAAGCUCCCAAGCACUAUUACAAAAUAAGAAAUAUAUCUGCCACUAUCUGGUACAGCCGACUUUGAAAUAAUGAUGAAAAGAAGAAAUGGUAAAUUUGCAAUGGUGUUUUAACAUCUGAAACUCCCAUCCCUGAAUUUGAAUUUCUGCAUCAUUAAAUGGGCAACAAGCUAGGACUGGUUGAUGAAAAUAUGAGCUGGAAGAUAACAGCACCAUAUGGAAUGAUGAUCACGUAAUGAACCAGGAAACCAAAAACUGAAUAAGUCAGACUGCUUAGAAACGCAAAACAAGAGUGCAGAGCCACUUCACAGAACACAAAGGUAGAGGUUUGGAGAGAGAAGCUACUUAAUAAUGCAGUGGCCAAUCUCCAGUAAUGAGGAGCAGUGUUCUGCAGUUCAGCCCAACCUGGAUUAAUCAAGAUCACCAGUGACUGAGAGAUCGUGCCAGGAAGAAGAACUAAGCCUCAGCUUCAGCACACACACAGUGGCUACAAGAAAUAAAACAAACCUACUUUUCACAUUGACUGAUCUAACUCCCCAAGGGUUGGCAUUGUCUCCGUGUGUUAGAGAGCGAAUAUUCAGCCUAAGUAAAUGCUGAACUAAUAACUAAAGACUGCAACUGUAGAUGCUGUGAAGUUUGUGAUGAACAGUAAUGAAAAUGUCAGAUGCCACAUGGAUGAGGAACUUGGUGCAUAAGAAACACA